UCGAGGAUUUUUCUCAAUGGGCGAAAGCCUGAAGGAGCGACGCCGCGUGGGGGAUGAAGGUCUUCGGAUUGUAAACCCCUGUCACUUGGGAACAAAUUGGUUGACCUAAUACGUCAGCCAUUGAUUGUACCAGGAGAGGAAGACGUGGCUAACUCUGUGCCAGCAGCCGCGGUAAUACAGAGACGUCAAGCGUUGUUCGGAUUCAUUGGGCGUAAAGGGUGCGUAGGCGGUGAGGUAAGUCGGAUGUGAAAUCCCAAAGCUUAACUUUGGAAGUGCAUCCGAAACUCCCUCGCUGGAGGACUGGAGGGGAGACUGGAAUUCUCGGUGUAGCGGUGAAAUGCGUAGAUAUCGAGAGGAACACCUGUGGCGAAGGCGGGUCUCUGGACAGUUCCUGACGCUGAGGCACGAAAGCCAGGGGAGCAAACGG
rnacentral:rRNA from 1 species